rnacentral:rRNA from 2 species
UAACGUCCGUCGUGAAGAGGGAAACAACCCAGACCGCCAGCUAAGGUCCCAAAGUCAUGGUUAAGUGGGAAACGAUGUGGGAAGGCCCAGACAGCCAGGAUGUUGGCUUAGAAGCAGCCAUCAUUUAAAGAAAGCGUAAUAGCUCACUGGUCGAGUCGGCCUGCGCGGAAGAUGUAACGGGGCUAAACCAUGCACCGAAGCUGCGGCAGCGACACUGUGUGUUGUUGGGUAGGGGAGCGUUCUGUAAGCCUGUGAAGGUGUGUCGUGAGGCAUGCUGGAGGUAUCAGAAGUGCGAAUGCUGACAUAAGUAACGAUAAAGCGGGUGAAAAGCCCGCUCGCCGGAAGACCAAGGGUUCCUGUCCAACGUUAAUCGGGGCAGGGUGAGUCGACCCCUAAGGCGAGGCCGAAAGGCGUAGUCGAUGGGAAACGGGUUAAUAUUCCCGUACUUGGUGUUACUGCGAAGGGGGGACGGAGAAGGCUAUGUUGGCCGGGCGACGGUUGUCCCGGUUUAAGCGUGUAGGUGUGUGUUCCAGGUAAAUCCGGUUCACUUUAACACUGAGGCGUGACGACGAGGCACUACGGUGCUGAAGCAACAAAUGCCCUGCUUCCAGGAAAAGCCUCUAAGCAUCAGGUAACAUCAAAUCGUACCCCAAACCGACACAGGUGGUCAGGUAGAGAAUACCAAGGCGCUUGAGAGAACUCGGGUGAAGGAACUAGGCAAAAUGGUGCCGUAACUUCGGGAGAAGGCACGCUGACACGUAGGUGAAGUGAUUUACUCAUGGAGCUGAAGUCAGUCGAAGAUACCAGCUGGCUGCAACUGUUUAUUAAAAACACAGCACUGUGCAAACACGAAAGUGGACGUAUACGGUGUGACGCCUGCCCGGUGCCGGAAGGUUAAUUGAUGGGGUCAGCGCAAGCGAAGCUCCUGAUCGAAGCCCCGGUAAACGGCGGCCGUAACUAUAACGGUCCUAAGGUAGCGAAAUUCCUUGUCGGGUAAGUUCCGACCUGCACGAAUGGCGUAAUGAUGGCCAGGCUGUCUCCACCCGAGACUCAGUGAAAUUGAACUCGCUGUGAAGAUGCAGUGUACCCGCGGCAAGACGGAAAGACCCCGUGAACCUUUACUAUAGCUUGACACUGAACAUUGAGCCUUGAUGUGUAGGAUAGGUGGGAGGCUUUGAAGUGUGGACGCCAGUCUGCAUGGAGCCGACCUUGAAAUACCACCCUUUAAUGUUUGAUGUUCUAACGUGGACCCGUUACCCGGGUUGCGGACAGUGUCUGGUGGGUAGUUUGACUGGGGCGGUCUCCUCCUAAAGAGUAACGGAGGAGCACGAAGGUUGGCUAAUCCUGGUCGGACAUCAGGAGGUUAGUGCAAUGGCAUAAGCCAGCUUGACUGCGAGCGUGACGGCGCGAGCAGGUGCGAAAGCAGGUCAUAGUGAUCCGGUGGUUCUGAAUGGAAGGGCCAUCGCUCAACGGAUAAAAGGUACUCCGGGGAUAACAGGCUGAUACCGCCCAAGAGUUCAUAUCGACGGCGGUGUUUGGCACCUCGAUGUCGGCUCAUCACAUCCUGGGGCUGAAGUAGGUCCCAAGGGUAUGGCUGUUCGCCAUUUAAAGUGGUACGCGAGCUGGGUUUAGAACGUCGUGAGACAGUUCGGUCCCUAUCUGCCGUGGGCGCUGGAGAACUGAGGGGGGCUGCUCCUAGUACGAGAGGACCGGAGUGGACGCAUCACUGGUGUUCGGGUUGUCAUGCCAAUGGCACUGCCCGGUAGCUAAAUGCGGAAGAGAUAAGUGCUGAAAGCAUCUAAGCACGAAACUUGCCCCGA